GUGGGGAAUAUUGGACAAUGGGCGAAAGCCUGAUCCAGCCAUGCCGCGUGUGUGAAGAAGGUCUUCGGAUUGUAAAGCACUUUAAGUUGGGAGGAAGGGCAUUAACCUAAUACGUUAGUGUUUUGACGUUACCGACAGAAUAAGCACCGGCUAACUUCGUGCCAGCAGCCGCGGUAAUACGAAGGGUGCAAGCGUUAAUCGGAAUUACUGGGCGUAAAGCGCGCGUAGGUGGUUCGUUAAGUUGGAUGUGAAAGCCCCGGGCUCAACCUGGGAACUGCAUCCAAGACUGGCGAGCUAGAGUACGGUAGAGGGUGGUGGAAUUUCCUGUGUAGCGGUGAAAUGCGUAGAUAUAGGAAGGAACACCAGUGGCGAAGGCGACCACCUGGACUGAUACUGACACUGAGGUGCGAAAGCGUGGGGAGCAAACAGGAUUAGAAACCCUAGUAGUCC
rnacentral:rRNA from 1 species